AGGGUUUGAUCCUGGCUCAGAACGAACGCUGGCGGCGUGGCUAAGGCAUGCAAGUCGAACGCAGUAUCACCCGAGGUAACUUGGGUGGCAUUCAGUGGCGAACGGGUGAGUAAUGUAUGGAUAACGUACCCUGGUGUUGAGGAUAGCGGUUCGAAAGGGCCGGUAAUACUCAAUAAAAUCCUUGUGUCGCAUGGCACUGAGGAUCAAACGGUUAAUUCUGCUCCGGGAUCGGUCCAUAUCCUAUCAGCUUGUUGGUGGGGUAACGGCCUACCAAGGCUUCGACGGGUAGCUGGUCUGAGAGGAUGAUCAGCCACAUCGGGACUGAGACACUGCCCGGACCUCCACGGAGGGCUGCAGCAACGAAUAUUCCGCAAUGGGCGAAAGCCUGACGGAGCGACGCCGCGUGCGGGAGGAAGCCCCUUGGGGUGUAAACCGCUGUCAGGGGGAAGGAAGUUCCCUUCGGGGAAUUGACCUAACCCAGAGGAAGGCACGGCUAACUCUGUGCCAGCAGCCGCGGUAAGACAGAGGUGCCAAGCGUUGUUCGGAUUCAUUGGGCUUAAAGCGCGAGUAGGCGGACACACAAGUCGGUUGUGAAAUCCCACGGCUCAACCGUGGAACUGCUUCCGAAACUGUGUGUCUUGAGGCAGGUAGGGGCUAGUGGAAUUUCCGGUGGAGCGGUGAAAUGCGUAGAUAUCGGAAAGAACGCCUGUGGUGAAAACGGCUGGCUGGGCCUGACCUGACGCUGAGUCGCGAAAGCUAGGGGGGCGAACGGGAUUAGAUACCCCGGUAGUCCUAGCCGUAAACGAUGUCCACUAGAUCUCGGAGGUUCUGACGCCGUCGGGGUCGAAGCUAAAGCAUUAAGUGGACCGCCUGGGGAGUACGGUCGCAAGGCUAAAACUCAAAGGAAUUGACGGGAGCUCACACAAGCGGUGGAGCAUGUGGCUUAAUUCGAGUCUACGCGAAGAACCUUACCCGGGUUUGACAUGUACGGAUACCUGCCCUGAAGGGGGAUUUGGUUGCCCUUUGGGUGAAACGUACACAGGUGCUGCAUGGCUGUCGUCAGCUCGUGCUGUGAAGUGUUGGGUUAAGUCCCAUAACGAGCGAAACCCUUACUGCUAGUUGCCAGCGGGUAAUGCCGGGGACUCUAGCGGGACUGCCGGCGUGAAGCCGGAGGAAGGUGGGGACGACGUCAAGUCAUCAUGGCCUUUAUGCCCGGGGCUGCACACGUGCUACAAUGGCGCAUACAAAGCGACGCAAUGCCGUGAGGCGGAGCAAAUCGCAAAAAAUGUGCCCCAGUUCAGAUUGUAGGCUGCAAUUCGCCUGCAUGAAGUCGGAAUCGCUAGUAAUCGCGUAUCAGCUAUGACGCGGUGAAUAUGUUCCUGAGCUUUGUACACACCGCCCGUCACGUCACGGGAGCUGGGGAGACCCGAAGUCCAUUGGCUAACUCUUCGGAGAAGCGGUGGCCGAAGGUAAACUCGGUGACUGGGACGAAGUCGGAACAAGGUA
rnacentral:rRNA from 1 species